CAGUAGCCGCGGUAAUACGAAGGGGGCUAGCGUUGCUCGGAAUGACUGGGCGUAAAGGGCGCGUAGGCGGCGGCCAAAGUCAGGCGUGAAAUUCCCGGGCUCAACCUUGGGGCUGCGUUUGAUACGUAUGGGCUAGAGUGAGGAAGAGGGUCGUGGAAUUCCCAGUGUAGAGGUGAAAUUCGUAGAUAUUGGGAAGAACACCGGUGGCGAAGGCGGCGACCUGGUCCUUUACUGACGCUGAGGCGCGAAAGCGUGGGGAGCAAACAGGAUUAGAGACCCCGGUAGUCCCUGUCUUUUAUAU
rnacentral:rRNA from 1 species